AACAGAUUCUUAUGUUAAAAAUAAGGUGGAAAAAAUUCAUAAAAAAUAACUAGACUAGACUGUCAUUGUUUGAAUGUUGGUAAAAAACAGACCUUCCAAUCCUUGAGGUGAAAAGCCCAAGUGAGAAUUCUUUAGUUUGCCAAUAUUUCAUGCAGCCAAUAGCAGCACAAUGUGAAUGCAUAAUUAACCCAUUUAAUCCCAAUUUUUUCUCAGACAUGAAAAUAUCAAAAUGAUGAUUUCUGUGUGGCUAGUCCCGUAUUAUAUUCUUAAUAUUUUCAUAUCUACCACUAGUGUUGGCAGCAUGUUCUACAAAAGGCCAACUGAAAAA